rnacentral:rRNA from 2 species
GUUGUUGGGUAGGGGAGCGUUCUGUAAGCCGUUGAAGGUGUGCUGUGAGGCAUGCUGGAGGUAUCAGAAGUGCGAAUGCUGACAUAAGUAACGAUAAAGCGGGUGAAAAGCCCGCUCGCCGGAAGACCAAGGGUUCCUGUCCAACGUUAAUCGGGGCAGGGUGAGUCGACCCCUAAGGCGAGGCCGAAAGGCGUAGUCGAUGGGAAACAGGUUAAUAUUCCUGUACUUGGUGUUACUGCGAAGGGGGGACGGAGAAGGCUAUGUCAGCCGGGCGACGGUUGUCCCGGUUUAAGCAUGUAGGCGGAGGUUCCAGGUAAAUCCGGUACCUUUUAACGCUGAGGUGUGAUGACGAGGCACUACGGUGCUGAAGUGAUAAAUGCCCUGCUUCCAGGAAAAGCCUCUAAGCAUCAGGUAACAUCAAAUCGUACCCCAAACCGACACAGGUGGUCAGGUAGAGAAUACCAAGGCGCUUGAGAGAACUCGGGUGAAGGAACUAGGCAAAAUGGUGCCGUAACUUCGGGAGAAGGCACGCUGAUGUGUAGGUGAAGCCCCUGCGGGUGGAGCUGAAAUCAGUCGAAGAUACCAGCUGGCUGCAACUGUUUAUUAAAAACACAGCACUGUGCAAACACGAAAGUGGACGUAUACGGUGUGACGCCUGCCCGGUGCCGGAAGGUUAAUUGAUGGGGUUAGCGGCAACGCGAAGCUCUUGAUCGAAGCCCCGGUAAACGGCGGCCGUAACUAUAACGGUCCUAAGGUAGCGAAAUUCCUUGUCGGGUAAGUUCCGACCUGCACGAAUGGCGUAAUGAUGGCCAGGCUGUCUCCACCCGAGACUCAGUGAAAUUGAACUCGCUGUGAAGAUGCAGUGUACCCGCGGCAAGACGGAAAGACCCCGUGAACCUUUACUAUAGCUUGACACUGAACACUGGUCCUUGAUGUGUAGGAUAGGUGGGAGGCUUUGAAGCGUGGACGCCAGUCUGCGUGGAGCCAACCUUGAAAUACCACCCUUUAAUGGCUGGUGUUCUAACGUAGACCCGUUACCCGGGUUGCGGACAGUGUCUGGUGGGUAGUUUGACUGGGGCGGUCUCCUCCCAAAGAGUAACGGAGGAGCACGAAGGUUGGCUAAUCCUGGUCGGACAUCAGGAGGUUAGUGCAAUGGCAUAAGCCAGCUUGACUGCGAGCGUGACGGCGCGAGCAGGUGCGAAAGCAGGUCAUAGUGAUCCGGUGGUUCUGAAUGGAAGGGCCAUCGCUCAACGGAUAAAAGGUACUCCGGGGAUAACAGGCUGAUACCGCCCAAGAGUUCAUAUCGACGGCGGUGUUUGGCACCUCGAUGUCGGCUCAUCACAUCCUGGGGCUGAAGUAGGUCCCAAGGGUAUGGCUGUUCGCCAUUUAAAGUGGUACGCGAGCUGGGUUUAGAACGUCGUGAGACAGUUCGGUCCCUAUCUGCCGUGGGCGCUGGAGAAUUGAGGGGGGCUGCUCCUAGUACGAGAGGACCGGAGUGGACGCAUCACUGGUGUUCGGGUUGUCAUGCCAAUGGCACUGCCCGGUAGCUAAAUGCGGAAGAGAUAAGUGCUGAAAGCAUCUAAGCACGAAACUUGCCCCGAGAUGAGUUCUCCCUGAGACUUUAAGUCUCCUGAAGGAACGUUGAAGACGACGACGUUGAUAGGUCGGGUGUGUAAGCGCAGCGAUGCGUUGAGCUAACCGAUACUAAUGAACCGUGAGGCUUAACCUU